GACGAACGCUGGCGGCGUGCUUAACACAUGCAAGUCGAACGGUAAGGCCCUUCGGGGUACACGAGUGGCGAACGGGUGGGUAACACGUGGGUGAUCUGCCCUGCACUUCGGGAUAAGCCUGGGAAACUGGGUCUAAUACCGGAUAGGACCCUGGGAUGCAUGUCCUGGGGUGGAAAGCUUUUGCGGUGUGGGAUGGGCCCGCGGCCUAUCAGCUUGUUGGUGGGGUGAUGGCCUACCAAGGCGACGACGGGUAGCCGGCCUGAGAGGGAGACCGGGCACAGUGGGACUGAGAUACGGCCCAGACUCCUUCGGGAGGCAGGAGUGGGGAAUAUUGCACAAUGGGCGCAAGCCUGAUGCAGCGACGCCGCGUGAGGGAUGACGGCCUUCGGGUUGUAAACCUCUUUCAGCACCGACGAAGCGCAAGUGACGGUAGGUGCAGAAGAAGGACCGGCCAACUACGUGCCAGCCGCCGCCGUAA
rnacentral:rRNA from 1 species